AUUGAACGCUGGCGGCAUGCCUUACGCAUGCAAGUCGAACGGCAGCACGGGUGCUUGCACCUGGUGGCGAGUGGCGAACGGGUGAGUAAUAUAUCGGAACGUACCUUAUUGUGGGGGAUAACGCAGCGAAAGCUGUGCUAAUACCGCAUAAUCCCUAAGGGGGAAAGCGGGGGACCGUAAGGCCUCGCGCAAUUAGAGCGGCCGAUACCUGAUUAGCUAGUUGGUGAGGUAAAGGCCCACCAAGGCAACGAUCAGUAGCUGGUCUGAGAGGACGAUCAGCCACACUGGGACUGAGACACGGCCCAGACUCCUACGGGAGGCAGCAGUGGGGAAUUUUGGACAAUGGGGGCAACCCUGAUCCAGCAAUGCCGCGUGAGUGAAGAAGGCCUUCGGGUUGUAAAGCUCUUUUGUCAGGGAAGAAACAGCAGCUCUAACACAGUAUGCGAAUGACGGUACUUGAAGAAUAAGCACCGGCUAACUACGUGCCAGCCGCCGCAGUAA
rnacentral:rRNA from 1 species